rnacentral:rRNA from 1 species
UACGGAGGGGGUUAGCGUUGUUCGGAAUUACUGGGCGUAAAGCGCACGUAGGCGGACUAUUAAGUCAGGGGUGAAAUCCCGGGGCUCAACCCCGGAACUGCCCUUGAUACUGGCAGUCUAGAGUUCGAGAGAGGUGAACGGAAGUCCGAGUGUAGAGGUGAAAUUCGUAGAUAUUCGGAGGAACACCAGUGGCGAAGGCGGCUCACUGGAUCGAUACUGACGCUGAGGUGCGAAAGUGUGGGGAGCAAACAGG